rnacentral:RNase_P_RNA from 1 species
GCUUCGGGCGCCGGUCGCUCGCGUGUCGCUUCGGCGGCGGCGCGGGAGGAAAGUCCGGACUCCGCAGGGCAGGGCGUCCGCGUUGGUGACGAUGCGGAAUCCCUUUGGCAAACGAAGGGAAAGGAAAGUGCCACAGAAACCAAACCGCCCGGUUCGCUUCGGCGGGCCGGGCAAGGGUGAAACGGCGGUGUAAGAGACCACCGUGCGGGAUUGAGAGGUUCCGCGCAAGGCAAACCCCACCCGGAGCAAGAUCAAAUAGGGAAUCGCAGGGGCGGCCCGUCCCGAUGCGCGGUGACGCGCGGCGAUUCCGGGUUGAUCGCCUAGACAAAUGACCGGGCCCGCGCGAGCGGGCGACAGAAUCCGGCUUAUUCGCCCGGAGUUCCG